rnacentral:rRNA from 1 species
UGAGGGAUAUUGGUCAAUGGGGGAAACCCUGAACCAGCAACGCCGCGUGAGGGAUGACGGCCUUCGGGUUGUAAACCUCUGUCCUCUGUGAAGAUAAUGACGGUAGCAGAGGAGGAAGCUCCGGCUAACUACGUGCCAGCAGCCGCGGUAAUACGUAGGUGGCAAGCGUUGUCCGGAAUUACUGGGUGUAAAGGGAGCGCAGGCGGAGCUGUAAGUUGGGCGUCAAAUCUACGGGGCUUAACCCGUAACCGCGCUCAAAACUGCGGCUCUUGAGUAGUGCAGAGGCAGGCGGAAUUCCCGGUGUAGCGGUGGAAUGCGUAGAUAUCGGGAGGAACACCAGUGGCGAAGGCGGCCUGCUGGGCACCAACUGACGCUGAGGCUCGAAAGCAUGGGUAGCAAACAGGAUUAGAUACCC